rnacentral:rRNA from 1 species
UACAGAGGGGGCAAGCGUUGUUCGGAAUUACUGGGCGUAAAGGGCGCGUAGGCGGCCUGCUAAGUCGAACGUGAAAUCCCCGGGCUCAACCCGGGAACUGCGUCCGAUACUGGCAGGCUUGAAUUCGGGAGAGGGAUGCGGAAUUCCAGGUGUAGCGGUGAAAUGCGUAGAUAUCUGGAGGAACACCGGUGGCGAAGGCGGCAUCUUGGACCGAAAUUGACGCUGAGGCGCGAAAGCCAGGGGAGCAAACGGG